rnacentral:rRNA from 1 species
GAUGAACGCUAGCGGCAGGCUUAACACAUGCAAGUCAGGGGCAUCGAGAGUAGCAAUACUUGUCGGCGACCGGCGCAAGGGUGCGUAACACGUGAGCAACAUACCCGUUUCAGGAGGAUUAACCGGAGGAAAACUCUGCCUAAUACUCCAUGACAUCAUCAAACGGCAUCGUUUGAUGAUUAAAGAUUUAUCGGAAACGGCUUGGCUCGCGGGACAUUAGCUUGUUGGUGAGGUAACGGCUCACCAAGGCUACGAUGUCUAGGGGUUCUGAGAGGAAGGUCCCCCACACUGGAACUGAGACACGGUCCAGACUCCUACGGGAGGCAGCAGUGAGGAAUAUUGGACAAUGGUCGGAAGACUGAUCCAGCCAUGCCGCGUGAAGGUUACUGUCCUAUGGAUAUUAAACUUCUUUUGUAUGAGAGCAAUAAGGUGCACGCGUGCACCGAUGAGAGUAUCAUACGAAUAAGCAUCGGCUAACUCCGUG